AUCGAAUUGGCCCUGUCAACACUGGCUCUCUACUAGUGAGGCAGCAUUCAUGUUGGAAAUUACACCAGAUGAGUUCCGGCGUACUGCAGCUCAAGGUCAUCUAAAUGCUGCGUUCUGCUCCAAACAAUUUAGACCAGUCUCUUCUGGAUGAGCGUCUAGAAGAUAAUGAGGAAGAAGGAGACUUCCUCUCACGAUCCCGA